AUUGAACGCUGGCGGCAUGCCUUACACAUGCAAGUCGAACGGCAGCACGGGAGCAAUCCUGGUGGCGAGUGGCGAACGGGUGAGUAAUAUAUCGGAACGUGCCCAGUAGUGGGGGAUAACUGCUCGAAAGAGCAGCUAAUACCGCAUACGACCUGAGGGUGAAAGGGGGGGAUCGCAAGACCUCUCGCUAUUGGAGCGGCCGAUAUCAGAUUAGCUAGUUGGUGGGGUAAAGGCCUACCAAGGCAACGAUCCGUAGUUGGUCUGAGAGGACGACCAGCCACACUGGGACUGAGACACGGCCCAGACUCCUACGGGAGGCAGCAGUGGGGAAUUUUGGACAAUGGGCGCAAGCCUGAUCCAGCAAUGCCGCGUGCAGGAAGAAGGCCUUCGGGUUGUAAACUGCUUUUGUCAGGGAAGAAAUCCUCUAGGUUAAUACCCUUGGGGGGAUGACGGUACCUGAAGAAUAAGCACCGGCUAACUACGUGCCAGCCGCCGCUGUAAGAC
rnacentral:rRNA from 1 species